GACGAACGCUGGCGGCGUGCUUAACACAUGCAAGUCGAGCGGUAAGGCCCUUUCGGGGGUACACGAGCGGCGAACGGGUGAGUAACACGUGGGUGACCUGCCCUCAGCUCUGGGAUAAGCCUGGGAAACCGGGUCUAAUACCGGAUAUGACUCCAUGACGCAUGUUGUGGGGUGGAAAGCCUUGUGCGGCUGAGGAUGGGCCCNGGCCUAUCAGCUUGUUGGNGGGGUGANGGCCUACCAAGGCGACGACGGGUAGCCGGCCUGAGAGGGCGACCGGCCACACUGGGACUGAGACACGGCCCAGACUCCUACGGGAGGCAGCAGUGGGGAAUCUUGCGCAAUGGGCGAAAGCCUGACGCAGCGACGCCGCGUGAGGGAUGACGGCC
rnacentral:rRNA from 1 species